UCCAAAGAAAUCAGAAGGCAGAAAAACCA
rnacentral:piRNA from 2 species